UACGGAGGGUGCGAGCGUUAUCCGGAUUCACUGGGUUUAAAGGGUGCGUAGGUGGGAAUGUAAGUCAGUGGUGAAAUCUCCGUGCUUAACACGGAAACUGCCAUUGAUACUAUGUUUCUUGAAUUUUCUGGAGGUUAGCGGAAUAUGUCAUGUAGCGGUGAAAUGCUUAGAUAUGACAUAGAACACCGAUUGCGAAGGCAGCUAACUACAGGGAUAUUGACACUGAGGCACGAAGGCGUGGGGAGCAAACAGG
rnacentral:rRNA from 1 species